AUUGGCUACCUUGUUACGACUUCACCCCAGUCAUGAAUCACAAAGUGGUAAGCGCCCUCCCGAAGGUUAAGCUACCUACUUCUUUUGCAACCCACUCCCAUGGUGUGACGGGCGGUGUGUACAAGGCCCGGGAACGUAUUCACCGUAGCAUUCUGAUCUACGAUUACUAGCGAUUCCGACUUCAUGGAGUCGAGUUGCAGACUCCAAUCCGGACUACGACGUACUUUAUGAGGUCCGCUUGCUCUCGCGAGGUCGCUUCUCUUUGUAUACGCCAUUGUAGCACGUGUGUAGCCCUACUCGUAAGGGCCAUGAUGACUUGACGUCAUCCCCACCUUCCUCCAGUUUAUCACUGGCAGUCUCCUUUGAGUUCCCGGCCGAACCGCUGGCAACAAAGGAUAAGGGUUGCGCUCGUUGCGGGACUUAACCCAACAUUUCACAACACGAGCUGACGACAGCCAUGCAGCACCUGUCUCAGAGUUCCCGAAGGCACCAAUCCAUCUCUGGAAAGUUCUCUGGAUGACAAGAGUAGGUAAGGUUCUUCGCGUUGCAUCGAAUUAAACCACAUGCUCCACCGCUUGUGCGGGCCCCCGUCAAUUCAUUUGAGUUUUAACCUUGCGGCCGUACUCCCCAGGCGGUCGAUUUAACGCGUUAGCUCCGGAAGCCACGCCUCAAGGGCACAACCUCCAAAUCGACAUCGUUUACAGCGUGGACUACCAGGGUAUCUAAUCCUGUUAAU
rnacentral:rRNA from 1 species